rnacentral:rRNA from 1 species
AGCAGCCGCGGUAAUUCCAGCUCCAAUAGCGUAUAUUAAAGUUGUUGCAGUUAAAAAGCUCGUAGUUGAAUUUCGGGGUUUGUCAGUUGGUCGGGCCUCACGGUCCGCACUGGCUUGAUUGAUUCCUACCUUCUGAAUAACCAGCAUGCUAUUAAGUUAGUGCGUUGGGGAAGCAGAUCUAUUACCUUGAAAAAAUUAGAGUGCUUAAAGCAGGCUAGUGCUUGAAUAGAUUAGCAUGGAAUAAUGAAAUAGGACGGCUUGGUUCUAUUUUGUUGGUUUCUAGGAUCACCGUAAUGAUUAAUAGGGAUAGUUGGGGGCAUUAGUAUUCAAUUGUCAGAGGUGAAAUUCUUGGAUUUAUUGAAGACUAAACUUCUGCGAAAGCAUUUGCCAAGGAUGUUUUCAUUAAUCAAGAACGAAAGUUAGGGGAUCGAAGACGAUCAGAUACCGUCGUAGUCUUAACCAUAAACUAUGCCGACUAGGAAUCGGACGAUGUUAAUUUUAUAAUGACUCGUUCGG